rnacentral:rRNA from 1 species
AUUGAACGCUGGCGGCAUGCUUUACACAUGCAAGUCGAACGGUAACAGGCCUUCGGGUGCUGACGAGUGGCGAACGGGUGAGUAAUGCAUCGGAACGUACCCAGAGGUGGGGGAUAACGCAGCGCAAGCUGUGCUAAUACCGCAUGUGAUCUGAGGAUGAAAGCGGGGGACCGAGCAGCAAUGUUUGGCCUCGCGCCUUUGGAGCGGCCGAUGUCGGAUUAGCUAGUUGGUGGGGUAAAGGCCUACCAAGGCGACGAUCCGUAGCUGGUCUGAGAGGACGACCAGCCACACUGGGACUGAGACACGGCCCAGACUCCUACGGGAGGCAGCAGUGGGGAAUUUUGGACAAUGGGCGCAAGCCUGAUCCAGCAAUGCCGCGUGCGGGAAGAAGGCCUUCGGGUUGUAAACCGCUUUUGGCAGGAACGAAACGGUGUCCGCUAAUACCGGGCGCUAAUGACGGUACCUGCAGAAUAAGCACCGGCUAACUACGUG